AUUGAACGCUGGCGGCAUGCUUUACACAUGCAAGUCGAACGGUAACAGGCCGCAAGGUGCUGACGAGUGGCUAACGGGUGAGGAAUGCAUCGGAACGUGCCCAGUCGUGGGGGAUAACGCAGUGAAAGCUGCGCUAAUACCGCAUACGACGUAUGGAUGAAAGCGGGGGGCCGUAAGGCCACGUGCGAUUUGAGCGGGCAAUGUCAGAUUAGGUAGUUGGUGGGGUAAAGGCUCACUAAGCCAACGAUCUGUAGCUGGUCUGAGAGGACGACCAGACACACUGGGACUGAGACACGGCCCAGACUCCUACGGGAGGCAGCAGUGGGGAAUUUUGGAAAAUGGGCGCAAGCCUGAUCCAGCAAUGCCGCGUGCAGGAAGAAGGCCUUCGGGUUGUAAACUGCUUUUGUACUGAACGAAACGGUCCUGGUUAAUACCUGGGGCUAAUGACGGUACCGUAAGAAUAAGCACCGGCUAACUACGUGCCAGCCGCCGCCGUAAAAC
rnacentral:rRNA from 1 species